CUUGAAGGUUUGAAGCGCCAAGAUACUUGCAAUUAAAGGAGAUGAAAGUUCGCGGAUCAGAGUUAAUUCAAGGUUGAUCAUUGAACUUAAGUAAAAGAUUUAAAUCCUUUAAUUUUAUUAUAACAUACACAUGAACAUCUAAAUAAUUUUGCUUAUUGAAUUAAAGAAAAUUAUAAUUUCUGAUUAAUCCUGCUUCCGCAUUCCAACAACAAUAACAAAGGUUUAUUUGAUUUUAUCGAACGCGGUCAAAUAAUACUAAAGCUUGGUUUUCGGUAGCAUGAAGUAGACUGAGAUUCCUCAAGCGCUUCUUCUGGUGCUAAAGCAGGUAUAUAGUUUUCAAAAUACAAGCAAUUAAAGUUGCAAAUGAAUGAAUCUAAUGCUAAUUUUUAUUUUUAUUUUUCCCCAGAACCUUAGCAACUAUUGCAGCAAUUGAAACUUGGCGCCAUUCUCCAUUCAAUAGAUCAAUGUUUGUAGAAGGGUUUUGACAAUCAAGUGAUUUUGAAGAGAGACAAGCACCUGUUUUUAAUUUCUAGUAGUUAUGAUUGAAUUUUGAUUGGAAAUUGGAGUGAGAAUUGGGGGACUGGGAGAGAAGAAGAGUAGUGAACCAAUGGUGAAAAUUGAGGUAGUGAAGGAAUUUUGUAAAGAGAAAUGAGUGGGGCCACUAUCGGAGAAUGAAGAUAGGUGAAAGUUAGAGAAAAGAUAGUUGCAUUUGAGUUGUUGUAGAAUCCAUGAAUUUGAGUUGUGUCUCUUGUUUGCGCAUACAAAGGUAAAACGAACUAAUCAAUGAUAAGGGAACAUUUGCGCGAAAUGUUCAGAUUCAUAGAGGAACAUUCAGAUUGAUAGAGUAAUCAAUGAAUUAAGAUUGAUUAUUUGAUUAUUCGCACAUGAGAUCGAU
rnacentral:lncRNA from 1 species